rnacentral:lncRNA from 1 species
UGUUCAAUAACCUUUAACAUGAAAUGUGACAUACGAGGGCGGUUCAGUAAGUCUUUAGAAACCAAAAAGUUAAUCUUUAAAUCCAAAAUUCAAAAAUUAUAAAUUAUUUGUAUAUUAUUAUUAAAAACGUUAAUAAAAUCGCAACAGUGUAUUUUUUUGGCUGUUACUUUUAGACAGGUCAAAACGGAGUCCACCGAGUCCAUGUAAUAAAUAUUAAAAGUACUCAAUAAAACCUUUUAAAUGAGGUAAAGUCCAGUUCAGAGAUCUAUUAGAAUCUUUGAUGUGUCGCAGAUGCCGCACUAACUAGUCCGUGCGCCUAUGUCAUAUUUAUUGUUGCAUGAUAUAUAUGUUUAAAUGGCAAAAUUUUAAAUUGUCUAUCUAUGAAAUCAUUUUAAAUAUACGUAAAACCCCAUGUUUUAUACUAUUUUUUAUUUUUUUUUUCGAAAAUGUCAAUUUUUAGAAAGAAAAUAAUAUCACAAGAAAAUAAUAUCAAAAAAUUGAUCGCGGACUAAAAUCCAAGCAUCUUACAAAAUAUUUUAAACACUUCCAGCACUCACAGGCUUGUCACCUCUUUUUAGCCAGUCUAUUAAACAAAGAUAAAACACCUGCGUUCUGACAAUUCCUACUUUAGGCUGUGCAAGUGAUUGUGUAUCUCUCUCUAUCCCACUGAAUUUAAGAAUUACGGGGCCGUACCCAAAUAAAUUUUUGGACCGUUUUUGUAUUAUUUUCGUCGUGUUUUUAAAGAGAUCUUUACGGAUCGGCUAUCGCCUUUAAAAUAGUUGUUGGAUGGGUCUAUCAGCUUUAAUAGUUGGGAGGGGGGCCAUGUGAGGUUAUUAUUUGAUGUGUUUUGCCGGUUAUGCUUUUUACACGUUUAUGAAAGUAAAGAAUUUAGAAUUUGGCCUGUAUUCCUGUAAAUUUUUUGCAGUUUUUACUGUGAGGAACAGUGUUUUUUUAUUUGUGUUUGUGGAUUUGUUUUGGUAUUAUACCUAAAGACCUUAAAAUGUUUCGACCCUGGAAAAAUAGGCAGGAAAAUUUGGCAAAUGAAGAGGAAAGUGUUUGUGCGGGCUUAUAGAGACCGUGGGUGUACAAGAAAGACAAUAACAUUUGUGAUAAAAACAAUAAGAGUGAUCUGGGCAGUGAUUUAGACUUACAUAGUUCUGAUAGUUCAUUUUCUAGUAUUGAGGAAGCAAAAAGAAGCAAGGGAAGUAGAAGCUACAGAGGAAAUCAAGCAGUUUUAAAAGAACAAAUUUAUCUAAAUAUCUAUAACAAUCUAAGGAAUGAUACUCAGUUCACAAAUGAUUGUAGUGCUUUGCAAAAAAUAGCGUCUUUAACAGGGGUUAUAGUACAAUAUGCCUGUAAAAAAAAGGAUUAAAGACAGAAUAAAAAGGAAAGAUGCAGGACAAUCAAAGGGACUUGACAUGGAUAUUGCCAAAUUGCUAAGGAAAGGUGUGUAUUCUAAAUACAAAAACAAUGAGGUUCUGACCAUAUAGACACCUUAUCGGCAAGGGACAAACAUUUCUCAGUCUCAACCUUGCGGAGAUACCUGAUAAAACUUGGAUUUAAGCGUAAGAUGGUUAACAAAAGAGCUGCUGUAAUGGAAUUGUCAGGUGGUGUAUAGAAUAUUUGAGGAAAAUUAAAAAAAUUUGGGAGGAAGAAAGAUCCAUAUAUUAUUUAGCCGAAACAUGAUAUGAUACAUUUAUGAUUGAUGUAUGAUUUCCAUUCUCUAGGAAAAAAGUUCUUUUUUUGCCAUACUUACUGCCCCUGUUGUCCUUCAGUGAUACAAUAAAGACUGCUUCUUCCACCAUUCUCUGGGAAAAAGUCCCUUUUUUGCCAUACUUACUGUCCCUGUUUGUCCUUCAGCGACACAAUAAAGUAUAUAUAAUGUAAUGCUUUAGAAUCCAUAUGCUGAUGUGCGAGAUGAAGUUGGAAUCCAUGGCGGCAACAGAGAAACUGUUUCCUUCCUUACCUUGACCCUGUUUUGCUAUGCUUACUACCCCUGUUGUCCUUCAGCAACACAAUGAAGACUGCUUCUUCCUCCAUUCUCUGGAAAAAAGUCCCUUUUUUGCCAUAGUAAGAAAAUCCUAUUUUUAUUAAUUAAACAAGUUUAAAGUUUUGUUUUUUUCAGCUUACUGCCCCUGUUUGUCCUUCAGCGACACAAUAAAGUAUAUAUAAUGUAAUGCUUUAGAAUCCAUAUGCUGAUGUGCGAGAUGAAGUUGGAAUCCAUGGCGGCAACAGAGAAACUGUUUCCUUCCUUAAUGGAAGAAACUGCUAAAGAACAAUGGCAAAAAAACAGAAUUUACAAAAUUUGUAUUAACUUUUUGGGCCAGAUUCAAAAGAGUGGUUAAAUUUAUAAAAGUAUUUAGUAUCCUUACUGUAGUUUUAGGAUCCAGUAUACUUAAAAUGUAGUGUUUUGUAUAAGAUUUUUAGUUUUUAGUAUAAGCAUUUAUUUUUAUUAAUUUUUAUCUAAUCUCUCCUAAUAUGCAUAAUAACUAAA